UUUGCGUCGAAGGUAUACCGGUAAGGAGUGCUGGAGCGAAUAGAAGUGAGCAUGCAGGCAUGAGUAGCGAUAAUUAAUGUGAGAAUCAUUAACGCCGUAAACCCAAGGUUUCCUACGCGAUGCUCGUCAUCGUAGGGUUAGUCGGGUCCUAAGUCGAGUCCGAAAGGGGUAGACGAUGGCAAAUUGGUUAAUAUUCCAAUACCAACAUUAGUGUGCGAUGGAAGGACGCUUAGGGCUAAGGGGGCUAGCGGAUGGAAGUGCUAGUCUAAGGUCGUAGGAGGUUAUACAGGCAAAUCCGUAUAACAAUACUCCGAGAACUGAAAGGCUUUUUGAAGUCUUCGGAUGGAUAGAAGAACCCCUGAUGCCGUCGAGCCAAGAAAAGUUUCUAAGUUUAGUUAAUGUUGCCCGUACCGUAAACCGACACAGGUGGGUGGGAUGAGUAUUCUAAGGCGCGUGGAAGAACUCUCUUUAAGGAACUCUGCAAAAUAGCACCGUAUCUUCGGUAUAAGGUGUGGUUAGCUUUGUAUUAGGAUUUACUCCGAAAGCAAGGAAACUUACAACAAAGAGUCCCUCCCGACUGUUUACCAAAAACACAGCACUCUGCUAACUCGUAAGAGGAUGUAUAGGGUGUGACGCCUGCCCGGUGCUCGAAGGUUAAUUGAUGGGGUUAGCAUUAGCGAAGCUCUUGAUCGAAGCCCGAGUAAACGGCGGCCGUAACUAUAACGGUCCUAAGGUAGCGAAAUUCCUUGUCGGUUAAAUACCGACCUGCAUGAAUGGCGUAACGAGAUGGGAGCUGUCUCAAAGAGGGAUCCAGUGAAAUUGUAGUGGAGGUGAAAAUUCCUCCUACCCGCGGCAAGACGGAAAGACCCCGUGGACCUUUACUACAGCUUGACACUGCUACUUGGAUAAGAAUGUGCAGGAUAGGUGGGAGGCUUUGAGUAUAUGACGCCAGUUGUAUAUGAGCCAUUGUUGAGAUACCACUCUUUCUUAUUUGGGUAGCUAACCAGCUUGAGUUAUCCUCAAGUGGGACAAUGUCUGGUGGGUAGUUUGACUGGGGCGGUCGCCUCCCAAAUAAUAACGGAGGCUUACAAAGGUUGGCUCAGAACGGUUGGAAAUCGUUCGUAGAGUAUAAAGGUAUAAGCCAGCUUAACUGCAAGACAUACAAGUCAAGCAGAGACGAAAGUCGGUCUUAGUGAUCCGGUGGUUCUGUGUGGAAGGGCCAUCGCUCAAAGGAUAAAAGGUACCCCGGGGAUAACAGGCUGAUCUCCCCCAAGAGCUCACAUCGACGGGGAGGUUUGGCACCUCGAUGUCGGCUCAUCGCAUCCUGGGGCUGGAGCAGGUCCCAAGGGUAUGGCUGUUCGCCAUUUAAAGCGGUACGCGAGCUGGGUUCAGAACGUCGUGAGACAGUUCGGUCCCUAUCUGCCGUGGGCGUAAGAAGAUUGAAGAGAUUUGACCCUAGUACGAGAGGACCGGGUUGAACAAACCACUGGUGUAGCUGUUGUUCUGCCAAGAGCAUCGCAGCGUAGCUAAGUUUGGAAAGGAUAAACGCUGAAAGCAUCUAAGCGUGAAGCCAACUCUAAGAUGAAUCUUCUCUAAGCUCUCUAGAAGACUACUAGUUUGAUAGGCUGGGUGUGUAAUGGAUGAAAGUCCUUUAGCUGACCAGUACUAAUAGAGCGUUUGGCUUAUCUUU
rnacentral:rRNA from 1 species